UACGAAGGGUGCAAACGUUGCUCGGAAUUAUUGGGCGUAAAGCGCACGUAGGCGGCUCCGCAAGUCGGAUGUGAAAUCCCUCGGCUCAACCAAGGAAGUGCAUCCGAAACUGCAGAGCUUGAGUACCAAAGAGGAUCGCGGAAUUCCCGGUGUAGAGGUGAAAUUCGUAGAUAUUCGCAAGAACACCAGUGGCGAAGGCGGCUCACUGGCCCGAUACUGACGCUGAGGCACGAAAGCGUGGGGAGCAAACAGG
rnacentral:rRNA from 1 species